CGGAACUUCGGGAGCUUGCUCCCGGGGUUUAGCGGCGGACGGGUGAGUAACACGUGGGCAACCUGCCCUGCAGAUCGGGAUAACUCCGGGAAACCGGUGCUAAUACCGAAUAGUUUUGGGUCCCUCCUGGGACCCGACGGAAAGACGGUUUCGGCUGUCACUGCAGGAUGGGCCCGCGGCGCAUUAGCUAGUUGGUGGGGUAACGGCCCACCAAGGCGACGAUGCGUAGCCGACCUGAGAGGGUGAUCGGCCACACUGGGACUGAGACACGGCCCAGACUCCUACGGGAGGCAGCAGUAGGGAAUCUUCCGCAAUGGACGCAAGUCUGACGGAGCAACGCCGCGUGAGUGACGAAGGUUUUCGGAUCGUAAAACUCUGUUGCGAGGGAAGAAACCGCACCACCUAACUAGUGGUGCCUUGACGGUACCUCGCCAGAAAGCCACGGCUAACUACGUGCCAGCAGCCGCGGUAAUACGUAGGUGGCAAGCGUUGUCCGGAAUUAUUGGGCGUAAAGCGCGCGCAGGCGGUCCUUUAAGUCUGAUGUGAAAGCCCACGGCUCAACCGUGGAGGGUCAUUGGAAACUGGAGGACUUGAGUGCAGAAGAGGAAAGUGGAAUUCCACGUGUAGCGGUGAAAUGCGUAGAGAUGUGGAGGAACACCAGUGGCGAAGGCGACUUUCUGGUCUGUAACUGACGCUGAGGCGCGAAAGCGUGGGAGCAAACAGGAUUAGAUACCCUGGUAGUCCACGCCGUAAACGAUGAGUGCU
rnacentral:rRNA from 1 species